CACCAACAACCGCGGCAGUUAUGGCCACCAACACGGAUGCACCCACGGCACGCUGAGCGACUCGUCUCUCAGCGUCACAGUCGUCGCUGUACCAGCGAUGUUACGUGCGCCCCGAUUUACCACGCCAGAUCGAGCAUGCCCGGCUGCAGUCACCUCCACGAGGAAAGCUCAGAGCAGAAAGCAUGAGACUGAGGUGAAGCCACCCACCUGUGUAUAUAUACAGCGGCGCCGGAUGCUGCACUGCUGUCACAGUGGUGAUUGAAUUGGCACAGUGCCAUACAGCGGCCAGGAGGGAGAAACCAUCCGGCUACACAAGGAAGCGAUCUCACUGAUGAAACAUUCAGCUGAUGAGGACACGGUCAGGAAGAAGAUGAAGCUGACAUUUGUCCAUCGGUGUAACAUGGUCCUUGACCCACAGCAGUCAAGCGACAUACUAUCUGAUUUUCCACGUUUCAAAGACAUCAAAGGCUUGGUUGAACAGGAUUUUGUUCUGAUGUUUGGAGAGGAUGUAUCGGACGAGUUUCUGGAGAAGUGGCCAACCACAUUCAAGAAAAAGAUCAUCCAACAAUGCAGAAAGCUUCCCUCUAUCAGUGAGCUUGAGGACCUCCUUCUGGCAGCUGAUCCUCCUGAGGAUGGUGCUGAAGUGGAUGUUGACUUUAGUUGGGACAGUGACCUCUCAUCGAUUUUACUGCUCUUACACUUGAUUCCAUCUACUGCUCUGGGUCGGAAGAGGCCAGGAAAGAUGUCUGCGUCCCGGGCUGAAAAGUAUCUUGUCUUCAAGAAGACUGGAACAAGCAUCCAAGAGCAUCUUGAUGCCAUUACUACCAGCACUCAACCCUAUCUCUUGGCUGUUGGAACGAGGAAGAACACAAUCCAUCAGUUCUUCAUUCUCGACAAGAAUGCCAUACCUUGCAGGAGCUGUUGGGCCAGGUGGCUGGUGGCUGACUGAUUUCCCCCGGCGGUGGUGGUCCCUUCACUCCCUGUACAAUAGUGCACUUGGGUGUUUGUCAAUGAUUUUGUUUUGUUCACGUGUGGUGUGGUGCAUUAGGACCCUUCCCUUCUCCCCUCCAGUUCGUCAUCGCUGCCUGGUAAGCCCUCAGCCCUGUGCCUGGUGACUGUUUCGGUGGCACACUUAAUUAAGUCAGGGGGGGCCCUUGAGGAUUAGAUUAAUACUGUGCCACUUACUACCAAGUUAUGUCUUGGCAUCGCCAACAAGGUCUGUUUUAGAAAGAG
ensembl:lncRNA